ACAUGCACAGUCGAACGGCAGCACGGACUUCGGUCUGGUGGCGAGUGGCGAACGGGUGAGUAAUGUAUCGGAACGUGCCCAGUAGCGGGGGAUAACUACGCGAAAGCGUAGCUAAUACCGCAUACGCCCUACGGGGGAAAGCAGGGGAUCGCAAGACCUUGCACUAUUGGAGCGGCCGAUAUCGGAUUAGCUAGUUGGUGGGGUAACGGCUCACCAAGGCGACGAUCCGUAGCUGGUUUGAGAGGACGACCAGCCACACUGGGACUGAGACACGGCCCAGACUCCUACGGGAGGCAGCAGUGGGGAAUUUUGGACAAUGGGGGAGACCCUGAUCCAGCCAUCCCGCGUGUGCGAUGAAGGCCUUCGAGUUGUAAAGCACUUUUGGCAGGAAAGAAACGUCGCGGGUUAAUACCCCGCGGAACUGACGGUACCUGCAGAAUAAGCACCGGCUAACUACGUGCCAGCAGCCGCGGUAAUACGUAGGGUGCAAGCGUUAAUCGGAAUUACUGGGCGUAAAGCGUGCGCAGGCGGUUCGGAAAGAAAGAUGUGAAAUCCCAGAGCUUAACUUUGGAACUGCAUUUUUAACUACCGGGCUAGAGUGUGUCAGAGGGAGGUGGAAUUCCGCGUGUAGCAGUGAAAUGCGUAGAUAUGCGGAGGAACACCGAUGGCGAAG
rnacentral:rRNA from 1 species